rnacentral:lncRNA from 1 species
AGAUGGAGGAACUUAGUUACAGCUUCUCGCUGACUACAUUGGGCCUGUCUAGUAAAUUUGUCCAUAUUGAAUAGGCUUUGGCUGCUCUAGCUGGAAAAGCCCUUUCAGUGGGAGUUAAAGCAGCAAAUGGCAUGGUAUUAGCAACUGAGAAGAGCAGAAAUCUAUUCUAUAUGAUGAGCAAAGUGUACACAGAGUGGAACCAAUUACCAAACAUACAGGUUUGGUGUAUAGUGGCAUGGGUGCAGAUUACAGAAUGCUUGUGCAUGGAGUUCAAAAGCUAGCUGAGCAAUACUAUCCUGUUUACCAAGAACCCAUUCCCACAACUCAGCUGGUAGAGAAAUUAGCUUCUGAGAUGCAAGAAUACACCGAGUCUGGUGGUAUUUGUCCAUUUGGAGUCUUUCUACCUAUUUGUGGUUGUGGGGGACAGACAUAUUUACUCAGGCAGAUCCAUCUGGAGCUUUCUUUGAAUGCCACAGCAAUGGGAAAGAACUGUGUGACUGGGAAAACUUUCUUUGAGAGAAGAAACAAUGAAGAUCUGAAAUUUAAAAUGCCAUUCAUAUAGCCAUCUUAACCCUAAAGGAAAGUGUUAAAAGGCAAAUGACAGAAGAUAACAUAGAAGUUGGAAUCUGCAAUGAAGCUGUAUUUA